rnacentral:tRNA from 1 species
GGUUAUAGCUCAGUUGGUAGAGCACUUGCCUAACAUGUGAGAGGCACUAGGUUUGAUCCUCAGCACCA